rnacentral:lncRNA from 1 species
UGAAGGGCUAAAAUGUAGGGAGCAAAUACUGAUUUAGGUGAAACUCUUUAAAUAAGAAACAUAGAAAAUGUGACAUUUCAUUGCCUAAUAUUAAUCAGUGGCAGCUGAACAGGUCUUAUUUGGGGGGAGGCAAAUUUUCAGCUAAGUUGGGUAUCGUAGUUUUCAGCUAAGUGUGAACACAACAGGCAAAACAUGAUUGAACUGGCAUAGCAGUAGCAUAGGAACAUAUAUAAAGUUAGG